rnacentral:rRNA from 1 species
CCGCUGAAUUUAAGCAUAUCACUAAGCGGAGGAAAAGAAACUAACAAGGAUUCCCUAGUAACGGCGAGUGAAGCGGGAUGAGCCCAGCACCGAAUCCCCUGUCUGUGAGGCAGUGGGACCUGUGGUGUUUAGGACAGCCUUUGGGGUUCCGUUGUCGCGUCCGAGUCCUCCUGAUCGGGGCCUUUCCCAUAGCGGGUGUCAGGCCUCUACUGGCGCGCGACGGAGUCUCUUUGAGCGCCCUAGGAGUCGGGUUGUUUGGGAAUGCAGCCCAAAGUGGGUGGUAAACUCCAUCUAAGGCUAAAUACCGACACGAGUCCGAUAGCGGACAAGUACCGUGAGGGAAGU